AUUCUGCCCAUGCGGGGAAGGAUGAGAAGCUUCGACCAAGGUGCGACUCGAGCGCCAGCGAGAAAGCGUUGCCGCAGGCAACGACCCGA
rnacentral:sRNA from 1 species